ACAAAGCAUCUUUGAUUAUUUCUAAUGGGAAACACACUCUUCUACAUAUUCAUCUCCAACAUGAUUGAAAAUCAGAUUCCAAAUAUAGCCUCACAUGAAAGCAAAGCAUGAAACAUAAUCAACAUUUACUUUGAUGAAUCCUUGGAUCAUGAAACCUCAACAUUUCCUCCACAUCCUCCCAUGAAGCCUCCGACGACCGACCCGAACUUGUAGGGCAUCGUGACGAUGUAUUUGGCUUCCGGCAGCGCGGAGGGGAACCAACGACGGCAGCAGUGCUGUUGCUGGGGAAGAGAAUGAUGUUCGCAGACGCCGCAGUGUUCUGGGUGCUGGUUGCUAUAGACCCCAAUACUUUUUUUCUCGAAUGCCAUUGUUCCUAGUUUCAUUGAACAUAAUAGGGGAUGAUGAAUCUGUUUUGGGAAUGAAGGAGGCGGUGAAUGGGUGGUCUCCUCCCUCCACGCCUCAACCUUGUCCGCAACCCCCACCACACCCACAAUCCCGCAUGAGAACAACCACUACAGUGCUCAGUGUUUUCCCAUGAAUCUUGUUUGUGGGCUCUGAACAAAGUUGUAAUAUUUUACAAUUUUAAUUGUUGGCUUUAUUUUCCAAUUUGGUUUUUGUAAUUGUUACUUAUUUGACAAUUUCUAGAAUUAAAACACCACUUGUAGUGUUCAAAUUUUUGCUUUAUAUCUGGAAAUUGAAGAGAUGCAGUGCAAGCUUGAUGUUUAUAUUUCUGUAUGAUAAAGCUGUGUUGCCAUUAAUGGUAGCUUUUUUAUUCUAUA